UGGAAUUCUGAAAUAUAAACUAUUAACAUUCGAUAUCCCGAUACUUUAUUGAGAAGAAAAACACUGUAUCUAAUCAUUAAUAAUAUCUAAUCACUUUGGAAGAAAAUAUAUUUUUUUUUAAUUAACGUGUAUAUAACUCUAUUAGAUAGUGAGAAAACGAAGAAAAAGGGGAGAGAGAGAGAGAGAGAGAGAGAGAGAGAGAGAGAGAGAGAAAGAGAGAAGAAAAGCAAAUAUUCAAAAAUGUAUAAUAGAUCAGUGCGGUUGGAUCUGACGAUGUAUAAAUCGAUAGACAUCGAGUUUUCUGAUGUGGUGUACGAAAUUCCAAAUGGAUUUUUUGGUCAAAAGAAACAAAUCCUUAAAGGGAUCAACGGAUAUUUCAAAUCCGGCGAGAUGUCAGCUAUAAUAGGUCCAUCGGGAGCUGGGAAGUCUACGUUAUUGAACAUUUUGACGGGAUUUAAACAGGAGAAAAAAUUAGAAGGCAAGAUAAAUUAUCUCGACAAAAAAGGAAAUAAAGAAUCCUGGACGAAACAUAGAAAGUAUUCCUGUUAUAUAUUACAAGAAGAUUAUCUUCCUAAUCUAUUUACAGUGAAUGAAUUAAUGAUGAUAUCAUUGAAUUUGAAGAUAGGUAACAAUCUGAAUCAAAAGAUGAAACAGAUUUUGAUCGACAAUAUUUUAAAUACAUUGGAUUUGUUGGGAGAUAAGAACAAACGUACGGAUAUACUGAGCGGCGGACAAAAGAAAAGACGAUAUGAUGUCAUACUACACAUACGAAAUGAAUUUCAAGCAAAAAUUACCACGCAUUGCAAUAUUUAUUAUCAAGUCAUGUUUCUUACAAGUCAACUCUUUAUAAAUCAGCCUUUUACAAGACAAGUUUUUAUAAAACAACUUCUUACAAGUCAGGUUUCUACAAAUCAGGUUUUUACAAAAUUGAUUGUACUUAUCCGAAGAAAUAUGGAUUUUUUAACAUUUAUUGGACUGAUUUAUAUUUGUUAUAUUCUUGCCAUUUUCAUUUAUCCUUGGUGUAUGGAUUGUAAUAUAGAACUUGCUUUAUUAACCAAAUUUGGAAAAUCUAUUGAUACAUUGAAAGGUAAAGUUGUCUGGAUAACUGGUGCUUCCAGUGGAAUUGGAGAACACUUAGCAUACACAUUAGCAAAAGCUGGAUGUAAAUUAAUAUUAUCUGCUAGAAGAGAGUCACUAUUACAAAAUGUUAAGCAAGCUUGUUUAAAAGAAAAUGCUGACUUGAAAGACGAUGAUGUGCUAGUACUUCCAUUAGAUGUUUGUAAUAUGAACUUACAUCAGGAAGCAUUUGAUACAAUUAUUAAAAAAUUUGGCAAGCUUGACAUAUUGGUUAAUAAUGCAGGACGAAGUCAAAGAGCACAUUGGGAAAAUAUUGAGUUAAGUGUGGAUAGAGAAAUAUUUGAAUUGAAUGUGUUUUCAUACUUAUCAUUAUCUCGUAUAGUAAUGAAAUAUUUCUUACAAAAUAAUCUCGGUCAGAUUAUAGUUAUAUCUAGUUUAGGUGGAAUUUUUCCAGCUCCUUACUCAGCAAGUUAUACUGGUAGCAAAUACGCAUUGCAUGGUUAUUUUGAUUCCUAUCGUGUAGAAAAAUAUGGUAAAAAUUUUCCUUCUGUCACUGUAAUAUGUCCUGGACCAAUUCAAACAAACUUUCUAGCAGAAGCUUUCACAGAAAAAUCAGGAGAGAAAUUUGGAAUAGAAACAGAUAAAGCCGGUAAUAAGGUUAGCGUAGAACGUUGCGCUAAUUUAUCAGCAAUUGCGAUUGCAAACGAAGUUUCUGAGGCAUGGAUUUCACAACCAUCUAUAUUAUUCGUGGCAUAUUUAAUAAAAUAUUUUCCAAAUAUGGGUGAAUGAUUCUAAUUUUUUUAACAUAAGCUUCCUAGCAUUUUUUCCGCGCAAUAUUGCCUCGCAGAAAAGAUUACAAUAAAGUUCAAUGGCACAUGGCGUAUCAUCAUUGCCAGGAACAGGAUAUGUUAUAAGAUUAGGAUUACAAUUUGUAUCAACAAUGCCAACAGUAGACUUCCAGCUUCUAGUUAAUGCAUAUUCUUGGCAAUUCAAGGCAGUUUUUUCAAUUAUACAAGUGCUUGAAGGAUUCUUGGAAAUAAAUAAAAUUAAUCCACCAUGAAGUGCGAUAUGAGCAGUAAAAUUCAAUGCUUGUCGUAAAAAUUCAGCCGUUUGGUUCAAAUCUAUUAUCAAGUGUCCUAAUCUUGAACCAAAUAUGAAUGGACGCAUAUUUUCAUGCAAUGUACCUUCCUUGUGACCAUAAUGUACCAUUCCAUUAAAUAAAUCUUUAAUUGUAAAAAGGUUAUGUACUUGAAAAAAGUCUGGGUGUUCCAUAGGAUUAAUAGAAUGGUUU